AACGAACGCUGGCGGCGCGUCUUAAGCAUGCAAGUCGAAUGGCAAGAUUGGUGCUUGCACCGAUCCUAGAAUGGCAGACUGGUGAGUAACACGUGGGUGACAUACCCUUUGGAUGGGGACAGCUACUAGAAAUAGUAGGUAAUACCGAAUAAGCUUAUAUCAGUUAGAGAGGUAUAAGGAAAGGUGCUACGGCACCGCCAAAGGAAUGGCUCGCGGCCCAUUAGCUAGUUGGUAAGGUAACGGCCUACCAAGGCAAUGAUGGGUAUCCGGCCUAAGAGGGUAAACGGACACAUUGGGACUGAGAUACGGCCCAG
rnacentral:rRNA from 1 species